GAGGUAGUGACAAGAAAUAACAAUACAGGGCUAAUGUCUUGUAAUUGGAAUGAUGGUGACCCAAACCCUCACCAGAGUAGCAAUUGGAGGGCAAGUCUGGUGCCAGCAGCCGCGGUAAUUCCAGCUCCAAUAGCGUAUAUUAAACUUGUUGCAGUUAAAAAGCUCGUAGUUGAAUUUUAGCGUGUUCGAGUUUGCCAUUCGUUUGGCUUUUUCGAGUUCGCUUUUGGGUUUUCCCUUUUUACUUUGAGAAAAUUAGAGUGUUUCAAGCAGACUUUUGUCUUGAAUACUUCAGCAUGGAAUAAUAGAGUAGGACUUUGGUUCUAUUUUGUUGGUUAUUGAACCUUAGUAAUGGUUA
rnacentral:rRNA from 1 species